CAGUCGCCGCGGUAAUACGAGGGGGGCAAGCGUUGUUCGGAAUUAUUGGGCGUAAAGGGCGCGUAGGCGGUUUGACAAGUUUGGUGUGAAAUCUAUGGGCUCAACCCAUAGCCUGCAUCGAAAACUGUCGGGCUUGAGUAUGGGAGAGGUGAGUGGAAUUUCCGGUGUAGCGGUGAAAUGCGUAGAUAUCGGAAGGAACACCUGUGGCGAAAGCGGCUCACUGGACCAUUACCGACGCUGAGGCGCGAAAGCUAGGGGAGCAAACAGGAUUAGAUACCCCGGUAGUCCCUGUCUCUUAUAA
rnacentral:rRNA from 1 species